AGCUACGGCAUCAGUAAUGAUGGGUAGGGGAGCUUCCCAUACGGGUUGAAGCAUGACCGUAAGGACAUGUGGACAGUAUGGGAGUGAGAAUGUUGGCAUGAGGAGCGAGAUGUGGGUGAGAAUCCCACAGGCCGUAAACCCAAGGUUUCCAGGGGAAGGUUCGUCCGCCCUGGGUUAGUCGGGACCUAAGCUGAGGCCGAAA
rnacentral:rRNA from 1 species